UGGGGAAUAUUGGACAAUGGGGGCAACCCUGAUCCAGCCAUGCCGCGUGAAUGAUGAAGGCCUUCGGGUUGUAAAGUUCUUUUGGUAGGGACGAUGAUGACGGUACCUACAGAAUAAGCUCCGGCUAACUUCGUGCCAGCAGCCGCGGUAAUACGAAGGGAGCUAGCGUUGUUCGGAAUUACUGGGCGUAAAGGGCGCGUAGGCGGUUUAACAAGUCAGGUGUGAAAGCCCUGGGCUCAACCCGGGAACUGCGCUUGAUACUGUUAUUCUUGAAUUCGGGAGAGGUGAGUGGAAUUCCCAGUGUAGAGGUGAAAUUCGUAGAGAUUGGGAAGAACACCAGUGGCGAAGGCGGCUCACUGGACCGACAUUGACGCUGAGGCGCGAAAGCGUGGGGAGCAAACA
rnacentral:rRNA from 1 species